rnacentral:lncRNA from 1 species
UCCUAGUAACCGUGCCUGAGGUGGGGAUCCCCUGAGAGCGUUUACGACCAAUGGGAGAAUAACAUGGCAGCGCCAGGGCCGGGCCGGUUUCUCAAUGUCAGGGGCUGCUCUCUUUUUCUUUCUCAACUUGCUAAAUAACUGUUCAUUUGCACUCGUUUUCUUCCUCCAGGGAAACUGUAAGUGAAUAUACCUGGGAACCUCCAUAUGCUGCGGGUGCGGCCCUAAAAAGAAAAAAAAGUUUUAUUAUAGUUAAUUUACAAUGUUCUAUUUCUGCUGUACAGCAAAGUGACCCAGUCAUACAUAUAUUCUUUUUCUCACAUUGUCCUCCAUCGUGUUCCAUCACAAGUGAUUGGAUAGAGUUCCCUGUGCUACACAGCAGGGCCUCAUUGCUUAUCCCCUGCAAAUGUAGUAGUUUGCAUCUACUAACCCCAGACUCCCAGUCCCUGUCCCCCUCCCGUAGCAAUCACAAGUCUGUUCUCCAAGUCCAUGAGUUUCUUUUCUGUAGAUAGGUUCAUUUGUACCAUAUAUUAGAUUCCAGAUAUAAGGGAUAUCAUAUGGUAUUUGUCUUUCUCUUUCUGGAUUACUUCACUGAGUGUGAGAGUCUCUAGUUCCAUCCAUGUUGCCACAAAUGGCAUUAUUUUGUUCUUUUUUUUUCUUAGCUGAGCAGUAUUCCAUUGUGUACAUGUACCACAUUGUCUUAAUCCAUUCAUCUGUCAAUGAACGUUUAGGUUGUUCCCACAUCUUGGCUAUUGUGAAUAGUGCUGCUAAGAUCAUAAGGGUGCAUGUACCUUUUGGAAUUAUAGUUUUGUUUGGCUAUAUGCCGGGGAGUGGGAUUGCUGGAUCAUAUGGUAGUUCUAUAUUUAGUUUCCUGAGGCACCUCCGUACCGAUUUCCAUAGUGGUGGUACCAAUUUACAUUCAGGAGGAUUCUGAACAUCCCUUCCAGCCUGAGGGGUCUCUGUGGAGACAUUUUCACCAUCAACAGUAGCACCAACAGCACUAAUGCUCUGGCUCUUCCUGGAUUACCGUGGCCUGCAGUUAAGAACCUGCCACCAGGAGUUCCUGUUGUGGCUUAACAGGUCUAGAACCUGACACGAGGAGGAAUGCGGGUUCAAUCUCUGGCCUCGCUCAGUGGGUUAAGGAUCUGGCAUUGCCAAAGCUGCGGCUUAGGUCACAGAUGCGGCUCGGAUCCUUUGUGACUGUAGCUGUGGCAUAGGCUGGCAGCGGCAGCUCCAAUGUGCCCCCUAGCCUGGGAACUUCCAUACGUUGCAGAUGUGCCCCCCACCCCUCAAAAAAGCUGCCACCAUUGACUAAGGCCUCAGGGCCAGGUUGUCAUUUUUCUUCUUUUCUUCUGGCAGUAUCUAGCGCAUUGCUCCAGAUACGCACACAUAUAUCCGUUGGUUUUACAGUUACCUGCGUUAACCUGAAUCUCAUCUUGGUUCUUCCACUGCCUUGGCAAGUCACUUCCUCCCCAGCACCUGAGCUCCGUAUCUGUAGGUGAGGGGCUGGUCUAAGACCCCUUCUAACUCUUGUCUCCUGUGAUACGCAGCUUCCACCCUCUCAAAGCGGCCAAACAUUAAAACCAGGUCACUUCUGCGAAGCAAUUUAUAAGCACAGUUUCCCCAGCAUCGGACUCGGACCGUAAAAUGGAAGGCAGACAGAAAACCAAAUAACAAGCACAGUGUACGGACAUAAAGGAUGAAGUAGCAGAGACUGAGGGUGUUUUUCAGUGUAGCCGGAGGUGCUUGAGAGAAAGUGGGUCCUCUCGCCAAUGACAUUUGAGAGUCUAGUCCAUUCUAAUGAGAGGAAUGAUGGCACUCGGGUGUUGUCUGGGGUCAUGCGGGUGAGAUGGCAUCCACAGGCAGGGAACAUCCUCCUGGGGGGUCUAAGUUUUGAGGGCUCCCCCCUGAAUGCCCGGGGCAAUGUAGCAGAAGGUGUAAUUGGCACAACUCAGUGGUCAAGCCCCACCCAGAGCAGAGAGAACAGGAUGGCCUCACAGGGGUCAGCUGGCCAGACUCCACGUCUUCACCUCACAGACCAGGCCUUGUGCUAGGACUGAUUUCAAAGACCAACAGCUAUGGUCCUUGCCUUCCCAGAGCUCUUGACACAGGUCAACAAAUAAACAAUAAUCCCAUGUGAUAAGUGCUGCUCAGAGAGACAAAUUCAUGGUCACGAAAUGCAGAGGGGUCAGAUGUUCCUAGAGGGUAGGGGCGGUAAGGCCACUUUCCACCUAAAUCUUGAAGGAAAAUACAGGUGAGAAAGUGAGAAAGGACAGUCCCAUCCAGGCAGAGAUGAGGGUGGGUGAAUGUGCGGAGCUGGGAGAGGGUCUGUGUCUGAGGAACGGUGAGCAGGUGUGCCGGCCGUGUGUGCUGGUGCAAGAAGCAAGGUGGGGCAUCUGCAUCAGAGGAGGUCUGGCUGGAAAGAGGGAUGGCCCAGGUUGGGAGGGGAUUUGUGUUCGAAGAAAGGAGUUUGGGGAGGUCCCAUCAUGGCUCAGCGGAAACGAAUCUGACUAGACUAGUAACCAUGAGGUUGCAGGUUUGAUCCCCUCCUCCUCCCCCACCCCCUGCCCCCAGCAGGUUAAGGAUCUGGUGUUGCUGGGAGCUGGCAUGAGCUGGCAUUGCUGUGGCUCAGAUUGGUAGCUACAGUUCUGAUUUGACUCCUAGCCU